GGGCGUACAAGGCUUCGACUGUCUGUCCUUCCCUUGGGCUCUGCGGUCUGCUGGUCAGAGUUAUUGUGCCGCUAUUUGAAGAUGAGUCAUAGGAAGAAAUCCCAGCAUACAUUGGGUCUGCAUCGCAGCCAAAAGUCCGGUUAAAAUCCUGUAUCUCGGCAUAGUCACGCUCACGAGCUUGUCUCUCUCGAAAUUCCCGAGUUUUUGCUUGAAUUCUCUCCUGUUCUUGCUUCAUUCGUAUUCUCUCCUCUUCUGAAGUAAGAGCUUCCUGCACUUUUAUUUUACCAGUUUUCUCACUCUUGUCAUCUUUGCGAUGUUUGCCAAACCUGAACAUGUCUCCUAAACCUUUCAGCAUUCCUUUCUUGGCCUUAAUUUUAUCCUUCUCUUUAUCUCGAUCCUUUUUCUUUUCCUUUCCAGCCUUUUUUCUGUCGCCUUUAUCUUGGCUUCCAUUCAUCUGUCUCUCCAGCGAGUGGGAUGGCUGGUCACUUGCUGUGGAAACAGAUUCUCUACCAGAUCUUGAACUUUCCUCUGUGUCUUCCUCCAAAGUUUCCAUGCCUUCAUCAUCAUCAUCUGCUACAGGUUUAUCAUAUGAUUU
rnacentral:lncRNA from 1 species